ensembl:snoRNA
GUGCAUAUUUCCCUGACCUGCUUUCUUUAUAUGUGAGCAGUGUUAUUUCUUAUGUGCUAUACAAAUAGUUAAAGGUUAAUUAGCAGGAAAACUAUAAAUAGUAAUGCUGCCAGUCUCCUUCAGGCAAAA